CACAAGGCUUUCGACUCGAUCUCGUGGGAAUACCUACUGGAGUUGCUGCAAAAUCUAGGUUUCUCGCUCAGGUGGCGCAACUGGAUCUCCGCUCUAUUGGCCUCGUUGUCCUCUGUCGUCCUCCUCAAUGGAUCCCCAUGCCCAAUAAUACAACAC
rnacentral:rRNA from 1 species